rnacentral:rRNA from 1 species
UACGGAGGGCGCAAGCGUUGUUCGGAAUCACUGGGCGUAAAGCGCGUGUAGGCGGCCGGGCAAGUCGGGUGUGAAAUCCCGAGGCUCAACCUCGGAACUGCAUUCGAAACUGCUUGGCUCGAGUCCCGGAGAGGAUGGCGGAAUUCCCGGUGUAGGGGUGAAAUCCGUAGAUAUCGGGAGGAACACCAGUGGCGAAGGCGGCCAUCUGGACGGUGACUGACGCUGAGACGCGAAAGCGUGGGGAGCAAACAGG